GAUGAACGCUGGCGGCGUGCUUAACACAUGCAAGUCGAACGGUGAAGCAGGAGCUUGCUCUUGUGGAUCAGUGGCGAACGGGUGAGUAACACGUGAGCAACCUGCCCCUGACUCUGGGAUAAGCGCUGGAAACGGCGUCUAAUACUGGAUAUGUGAUGUGACCGCAUGGUCUGCAUCUGGAAAGAAUUUCGGUUGGGGAUGGGCUCGCGGCCUAUCAGCUUGUUGGUGAGGUAAUGGCUCACCAAGGCGUCGACGGGUAGCCGGCCUGAGAGGGUGACCGGCGACACUGGGGCUGGGACACGGCCCAGACUCCUACGGGAGGCAGCAGUGGGGAAUAUUGCACAAUGGGCGGAAGCCUGAUGCAGCAACGCCGCGUGAGGGAUGACGGCCUUCGGGUUGUAAACCUCUUUUAGCAGGGAAGAAGCGAAAGUGACGGUACCUGCAGAAAAAGCACCGGCUAACUACGUGCCAGCAGCCGCGGUAA
rnacentral:rRNA from 1 species